rnacentral:lncRNA from 1 species
GCCGUCUUGCCAAGACAAACCAAAGGAAGAAGCUAUUGAUGAAUUAAAGAAUUUAAUGGUACAAACUCAUUAGAGACGAAUGAAGGGACAUCAGAACAGAAUUCAAUCUCAAACGAUUGAAAACUUAAUAAAACUGAAAGAAUCUUCAUAAACAGCAUAUCACUGGGGAUGAUCAUGGUGAUGAUGACGAUGAUGAUGAUGAUGAUGACAUGGACAGUGAUGGCGUUGGCGAUGGAGUGGGUAGUAGUCUGGGAAUCAAAUAAAAAUGUUUUGUUUUUUUG